UACGUAGGGUGCAAGCGUUAAUCGGAAUUACUGGGCGUAAAGCGUGCGCAGGCGGUUCGGAAAGACAGAUGUGAAAUCCCCGGGCUUAACCUGGGAACUGCGUUUGAAACUACAAGGCUAGAGUGUGGCAGAGGGGGGUGGAAUUCCACGUGUAGCAGUGAAAUGCGUAGAGAUGUGGAGGAACACCGAUGGCGAAGGCAGCCCCCUGGGUUAACACUGACGCUCAGGCACGAAAGCGUGGGGAGCAAACAGG
rnacentral:rRNA from 1 species